AGAAGUUGUGCUGGGUUGUGCAAAGAAUCAGAUUCCAUACAGAAACCUCCAAAACAGAAUCUGUGCAUGUCGUGUCCACUGGGUUUAGUGGCUUUGGAAGAAGUAUCAGAAUUGGAGAGUAAUGUAGAUAUCCAGGUUCCCAGCAGAAAUGAUACCUCUUUACCUAAAGAUGCUCAGGGUUUGGGGUCCAAGAGCCUCCAAGAUCUAACCAGUACCAGUAAACAGAGUACAGAAUUGAGCCAUGAUUUAUCUUUGACUACAUUGGACUUAGUAUCAUUCCAGGCACAAGACCCAACCAUAAAUUAUAUUGAGCAACACCUUCAAUAUCUAAAUACCUCAGCGAGGAACUCUGUGUAUCUAGGAAAGGAAGAAGAAUCUGAUGCACUUUGCAUAGCGCAGCAAAGCUCCCUUGAUGAGUCACCAUGUGUUUUAGUUCUGGAAAAGGACAGAACAGAAUGUGACUGUAAUCCUAAAAGUCUUGCCUCCCACAGCAAUUGUUCUGAUGUAGUUCAGUCUGUGAAACCUUUGAGCCCAGUACCUGUCUCCAAUGAGACUCUGGUCCCAGAGGACUCAUACAACCUUUUUAGUCAAUACUCAGCUAUGUCAGACUGCAGACAGCCUGUUCAGUUUUUAACCUACUCAUCUGAUGCAGAAGCCCAGUCUCAGCCAUCACCUGCACCUCUUGGUCUCCCGUAUCCCAGUCAGUCUCUACAGCAAUUGUUUUCUCCCAUUCAAACUUCCCAUUUUUUACCUAAGGAUCCACAGUCUUCAGCUGUGGCAUCUGACACAGAAUCAUUUGGUCAACCUCCAUCUUCUGAGUAUAACACUCAUCAGCCCACACCACAGUCCUCCAGUUCUGACCAUCACAUGUCCCUAGGGUAUGAUGCUAACCAAUCUCCACCUGUGCCAAUAAUUUUCAAAAAUCCCAAGAAUUCUAUUUUUCCUGCUUUUCAUGCCAACCAAAUCAGGGAUUCUACAGUUCCUGAACUUGACUGUAGCCUCUCAGGCUUUGUCAUCAACAGCAGUAUCCUCAAUCCAUUUCCAGCUUCCCUGGCCAACAAUAAGCCUUCAUCUACAGAAAAUAAUCAGUUUGCCCAGCAUCCUGUUGAAACACAUGAGUCCAAUCUCUUCAAUGACCACAUAGGUGAUGAUGAUGAUGAUAACAACAAUAUGCACACUGAUGUUCAUAUCUGUCAAACCACACCCAACACAUAUGAAACUGAGGAUCCUGCCCCAAUUACAAGCUUAGAGGGUACACUUGAAGAUCUCUCUGUUGUAGAGUUGGCCAAGUCAGACAGCAUACCUUCUCUAAAAGGUGAGAAAGACUGGAAUACACAUAAAGCAUCCGGUGACAGUGGAGUCAGUCUACUGGACACACACUCAGAUUUAGUCCAUUUAGGAAAUGAUACAUCAAGGUCCAAAAUCGACAGGAAUACAGAUAAUGAGACGUCUUCAUCGGAAGCUACAGAAACCAGGUGCACAGUGCAGCACCCUCCAUUUCUAGCUUUCACCAACCCAAUGCACUUCUUUCAGCUUGGUCCUCCAUUGCCAUCAACUAUGAAACACCCAUGUAAGCAACAGUAUUUCUCUCAGGAGCCACUAUGGCAGCAGCAACAGAAACAAAAUGCCACGAUGGAUGCAGAGGUCAUGAGAUCAUCUACUAUUACAUGUCAGGAAGCAAAAGGCCCUGAAAGAUUCAGGGAUGGCUUCGAAAAACCAGGGCUGGAGUCAAUGCCAUCCGUGCUUCAUAGUAACGAAGACGUUGCCAAACAUCCACCCUUAGAGAAGUCUUCAAGUUGCCCCAGUAAAAAUGUCAUUGGGUUGGACUCAAAACUAGCAUUCAGUUCAAAGAAACAGGAAGUGUUAAUCAAGCAACGAGCAAAAAGCAAAGACUGGCAUCGACAGGGUGUCAGAAAAGCCUCGGUGCCAACAGACAAUGUAUCACGUGAGUGCUUUUUAAUUAAUCCCUGCUUCUUCACUGAAUUGAC
rnacentral:lncRNA from 1 species